AAAAAAUUAUGUUAAUUACUUUUUAUUUUGUUUUUAUAGUACUAAAUUAACUUUUUUUAUGUUUCUUGCAAAAUUUGCGAGACUGUUUUUGAUUUUGCGAGUUGGUAUUAAAGCUGCUCGCAAUGUUUUGCAAGUAGAAAAAAAAGUUAAUUUCGAGCCCUGGAAUUGCAUGAGGAGAGUUCACGACUUGCAAGACAUGGAUUUAACAUUAAGCACCAGUAUAUAAGGCUCUAUCAACUGAAAAUAUAACAGAUAAUGAGGUUAUCAAACAUAUUGAUUUCUCAGAGAACUAUCAAUGUAAAUAUGCAUCUGAGAUUCAGGGUGUUCAUUUCGGUUCGUCAAAACGCCAAAUUUCUAUUCACACCGGUAUCGCCUAUUUCAAAUCCAAGCAUAUAUCUUUCGCAACCGUAUCGGACGAUUUGAAACACUCCCCUCCUGGAAUAUGGGUACAUCUUGAUCCUAUCCUCUUGCAUAUCCGGCGGACCACUCCUGACAUCAAUAAAAUCCAUUUCGUAUCCGAUGGGCCUACCACACAAUACAGGUGUAAAUCAAUUUUCUACCUCUUUUCUACGAAAAUUUUCGAGUAUGGCUUUAUAAAUGGCGGACGUUGGAAUUUUAUGGAAGCGGAACACGGCAAGGGCGCCCCUGAUGGUAUUGGAGCCGAAGUCAAGCGUGAGGCUGAUACACUCGUCAACACCCAUGAGACGGACAUAACGGGUGUUAGUGCUUUAAUCAGAGGUCUGGAGAAACUAGGAAGCCGUUUGAUGAUCUUCGAAGUGAAAAACGAUGACAUCACGCAACAGGAAGCUGCUAUUCCAACACAGAUUACCGGCGUUUCAUAGACGAUGAAACUCCAUCAGGUUGUUGUCAAAGAAAGCGGGAGAGUUCAGUCAAGAAUCCUGAGUUGUUUCUGUCCACCGGAUUGUUCAUGUUACCAACCGGUUACAACCAAUUGCAAUGUCCAGCCGUUCGCAAAUUCCGUACUGAUGGAUGACGACAGCAUCGUAGGUCCACAAAACGGGGCUGAUCUUCCUUGUCAGAGUCUCAAUGUACCAGUCAGUAUUGACGAGAGUCUAAUUGACAGCUAUUGUUUGGUCGAGUAUGAUGGUAAACCGUAUCCAGGCCUGACCAUUUGACGCUAGAGCCGCAGUUGGUAAACAAUCAGCGGCUAUCUUGCUGUGACCGUUGCAUUGGACAUGAUUUCAAUGGGAGAUGUCUGGUAGUGCUGUUCCUAUACUGUAGACAAGAAGACACCGAUCCACGAACUAUCCACAUCGUCAUAGCACUAGUAGGCACUUUGUUGGCAGGUGACACAUGCCUUGCGGGAGUUACAAUUUACGCGAUAAAGGAGACCCAGCUUCACUUUGACGGUCACCAUCGCAACCGCACGCUCUACCAGUUCGACUGGUCCUUUGCCCUCACUUGCGGAGGCGGGGCUAUGGCGCUGGUCUGCGCGAUGUCCAUGGCGUGCGAGUUACGAAAGGGUCUUGCGGUCAACAGACAUAGCGGAUAUCAAAGCAUACCUGACUCCUGUGAAACAUAAAUCCUCCCCUCCAUCCCGUCUCGUAUGUGUGAGUGAUCAAUAUGCUGAUAGAUAACAAGAACUGGAUGCGUCUAUUUGAAUUGGUACUACGUGAUAUUAGAGCGACGAGUUGUAUAAUACACAUUCGUACCAGUUACAAUUGUUAACUGAUUAUGGUCGAAACCAGCGAAGUUGAUGAUAAUCACUGAAGAGCAUGAAUUCAAAAGAGAACCAUUUGUUUUUUUGGUUCUAUUUGAUUUUGAUACAAACAUGAUAUGUGCGUGGUCAUAUGAACACCUAAAAGAUCAACCGUCAAUUACAUAUAAGGAGGGAAUGUGAUUAGCUUUCGUGGGACGAGUGAUUUCACAAGAGACUUUGGACAAACUUUUGACUGAUGCGUAUGCUUUAUAUUCUUUAAUUAGUUAAUUUGUAAUUUGCUGUGAUUUUAUAGGAUAUCACAAUGAUAUAAAUUGUACCACAAAAGAUUUGAAACUAACGCGUGACUUAUUUAUAUUGAUGCAUAUAGAGAGUUGUGCUUUGAAAUGUGUUUUGUCAUAUAUUCAUUUUCUCAUUUAAAUUUACACGUGUUUCAUUUACAUUUUAAAUAUGUAAAUGGCCGAAACCAUCAUAGUAUAGCAUGCAUCAAACGAUAACACAUCCCUUCUUGUGAAGAACAGUGAAGUUGAUGAAAAUCCACUGAAUCGCACAUAUUACAUUGGAUAUUGGAGUAACUUAUCAGGAACACUUAGUUUGUGAACGGGUUACUUUAGCAAACAGCUGAAGUGAUAUUGAACUGUAGUCCCACUGAAGUUUAUUUGAUAGUGGUUGAAACCUUUUCUUUUGGUUUAUUCAACAUCAAUGCUCAUCACGUUACACU